UACAGAGGUCCCAAGCGUUGUUCGGAAUUAUUGGGCGUAAAGGGUAGGUAGGUGGUCUCAUUUGUCAGGGGUGAAAGCCUUGGGCUUAACCCAAGAAGUGCCCCUGAAACGGUGAGACUAGAGUGCUGGAGAGGGUCGUGGAAUUCCCGGUGUAGCGGUGAAAUGCGUAGAGAUCGGGAGGAACACCAGAGGCGAAGGCGGCGACCUGGACAGUUACUGACACUCAACUACGAAAGCGUGGGGAGCAAACAGG
rnacentral:rRNA from 1 species